AUCCAGCUGACAAGUCCCAAACAGAACGAAACGCGCGUUCUGGAU
rnacentral:hammerhead_ribozyme from 1 species